GUUAUAGGGUCAAGUGAAUAAGAGCAUGUGGUGGAUGCCUUGGCAAUGAUAGGCGACGAAAGACGUGAAAGCCUGCGAUAAGCUUCGGGGAGCUGGCAAAUAAGCAUUGAUCCGGAGAUUUCUGAAUGGGGAAACCCACCCUUAGGGGUAUCGCAUGAUGAAUACAUAGUCAUGCGAGGCGAACCGGGUGAACUGAAACAUCUCAGUAGCUCGAGGAAAAGACAUCAACCGAGAUUCCGAAAGUAGUGGCGAGCGAAAUCGGAAGAGCCUGUUAGUGAUAGCACAACUGUUAGCAAAGCGGCAUGGAAAGGCCGGCCAUAGUGGGUGAUAGCCCCGUAUGCGAAAACAGAUGUGUGGUACUGAGCUAACGACAAGUAGGGCGGGACACGAGAAAUCCUGUCUGAAUAUGGGGGGACCAUCCUCCAAGGCUAAAUACUCAUCAUUGACCGAUAGUGAACAAGUACCGUGAGGGAAAGGCGAAAAGAACCCCGGGAGGGGAGUGAAAUAGAUCCUGAAACCGCAUGCUUACAAAAAGUAGGAGCCUCGAAAGGGGUGACUGCGUACCUUUUGUAUAAUGGGUCAGCGACUUACAUUCAGUGGCAAGGUUAACCGAAUAGGGAAGCCGUAGAGAAAUCGAGUCCGAAUAGGGCGAUCAGUCGCUGGGUGUAGACCCGAAACCAAGUGAUCUAUCCAUGGGCAGGAUGAAGGUGCCGUAACAGGUACUGGAGGUCCGAACCGACUAAUGUUGCAAAAUUAGCGGAUGACCUGUGGAUAGGGGUGAAAGGCUAAACAAACUUGGAAAUAGCUGGUUCUCUCCGAAAACUAUUUAGGUAGUGCCUCAAGUAUUACCAUCGGGGGUAGAGCACUGUUUUGGCUAGGGGGUCAUGGCGACUUACCAAACCAAGGCAAACUCCGAAUACCGAUGAGUACAGCUUGGGAGACAGAGCACCGGGUGCUAACGUCCGGACUCAAGAGGGAAACAACCCAGACCGCCAGCUAAGGUCCCUAAAAUUGGCUAAGUGGGAAACGAAGUGGGAAGGCUAAAACAGUCAGGAUGUUGGCUUAGAAGCAGCCAUCAUUUAAAGAAAGCGUAAUAGCUCACUGAUCGAGUCGUCCUGCGCGGAAGAUGUAACGGGGCUAAGCCAGUUACCGAAGCUGCGGAUUUGCAAUUUAUUGCAAGUGGUAGGAGAGCGUUCUGUAGGCCUGUGAAGGUGGUGGUGUAAACCCUGCUGGAGGUAUCAGAAGUGCGAAUGCUGACAUGAGUAGCGUUAAAGGGGGUGAAAAGCCCCCUCGCCGUAAGCGCAAGGUUUUCUACGCAACGUUCAUCGGCGUAGAGUGAGUCGGCCCCUAAGGCGAGGCAGAGAUGCGUAGCUGAUGGGAAACAGGUCAAUAUUCCUGUACCGAUUACAAGUGCGAUGUGGGGACGGAGAAGGUUAGCUCAGCCAACUGUUGGAUAUGUUGGUUCAAGCCUGUAGUCAUGCCUGGUAGGCAAAUCCGCCGGGCUAAGAUGAGGGGUGAUAACGAGUGUGCUUGCACACGAAGUGAGUGAUACCCUGCUUCCAGGAAAAGCCACUAAGCUUCAGCUUGUAAUUGACCGUACCGCAAACCGACACUGGUGCGCGAGAUGAGUAUUCUAAGGCGCUUGAGAGAACUCAGGAGAAGGAACUCGGCAAAUUGAUACCGUAACUUCGGGAGAAGGUAUGCCCCUAGUAGGUGAACUUGAACAAAGGGAGCCCAACGGGGUUGCAAAAAAUCGGUGGCUGCGACUGUUUAAUAAAAACACAGCACUCUGCAAACACGAAAGUGGACGUAUAGGGUGUGACGCCUGCCCGGUGCUGGAAGAUUAAAUGAUGGGGUGCAAGCUCUUGAUUGAAGUCCCAGUAAACGGCGGCCGUAACUAUAACGGUCCUAAGGUAGCGAAAUUCCUUGUCGGGUAAGUUCCGACCUGCACGAAUGGCGUAACGAUGGCCACACUGUCUCCUCCUGAGACUCAGCGAAGUUGAAAUGUUUGUGAUGAUGCAAUCUCCCCGCGGAAAGACGGAAAGACCCCAUGAACCUUUACUGUAGCUUUGUAUUGGACUUUGAACAGAUCUGUGUAGGAUAGGUGGGAGGCUUUGAAGCCGGAACGCUAGUUUCGGUGGAGCCAACGUUGAAAUACCACCCUGGUGUGUUUGAGGUUCUAACCUAGGUCCAUUAUCUGGAUCGGGGACAGUGCAUGGUAGGCAGUUUGACUGGGGCGGUCUCCUCCCAAAGCGUAACGGAGGAGUUCGAAGGUACGCUAGUUACGGUCGGACAUCGUGAUAAUAGUGCAAUGGCAUAAGCGUGCUUAACUGCGAGACUGACAAGUCGAGCAGAUACGAAAGUAGGACAUAGUGAUCCGGUGGUUCUGUAUGGAAGGGCCAUCGCUCAACGGAUAAAAGGUACUCUGGGGAUAACAGGCUGAUACCGCCCAAGAGUUCAUAUCGACGGCGGUGUUUGGCACCUCGAUGUC
rnacentral:rRNA from 1 species